GGGUUGUGAGGUUAAGCGACUAAGCGUACACGGUGGAUGCCCUGGCAGUCAGAGGCGAUGAAGGACGUGCUAAUCUGCGAUAAGCGCCGGUAAGGUGAUAUGAACCGUUAUAACCGGCGAUUUCCGAAUGGGGAAACCCAGUGUGACUCGUCACACUAUCAUUAACUGAAUCCAUAGGUUAAUGAGGCGAACCGGGGGAACUGAAACAUCUAAGUACCCCGAGGAAAAGAAAUCAACCGAGAUUCCCCCAGUAGCGGCGAGCGAACGGGGAGGAGCCCAGAGCCUGAAUCAGCAUGUGUGUUAGUGGAAGCGUCUGGAAAGGCGCGCGAUACAGGGUGACAGCCCCGUACACGAAAGCGCAUAUGCUGUGAGCUCGAUGAGUAGGGCGGGACACGUGGUAUCCUGUCUGAAUAUGGGGGGACCAUCCUCCAAGGCUAAAUACUCCUGACUGACCGAUAGUGAACCAGUACCGUGAGGGAAAGGCGAAAAGAACCCCGGCGAGGGGAGUGAAAAAGAACCUGAAACCGUGUACGUACAAGCAGUGGGAGCCCCACCACUAAGCCAGUGGUGAACUCCACAUACGCAUCCUUUGCUGAGGAUGCGGUUAACGGAGCGAAAGCGACGUUCAACCGCAAAAGAAGCAGAGGGGGCUUAGUGGUGGGGUGACUGCGUACCUUUUGUAUAAUGGGUCAGCGACUUAUAUUCUGUAGCAAGGUUAACCGAAUAGGGGAGCCGGAGGGAAACCGAGUCUUAAUUGGGCGUUAAGUUGCAGGGUAUAGACCCGAAACCCGGUGAUCUAGCCAUGGGCAGGUUGAAGGUUGGGUAACACUAACUGGAGGACCGAACCGACUAAUGUUGAAAAAUUAGCGGAUGACCUGUGGCUGGGGGUGAAAGGCCAAUCAAACCGGGAGAUAGCUGGUUCUCCCCGAAAGCUAUUUAGGUAGCGCCUCGUGAAUUCAUCUCCGGGGGUAGAGCACUGUUUCGGCUAGGGGGCCAUCCCGGCUUACCAACCCGAUGCAAACUGCGAAUACCGGAGAAUGUUAUCACGGGAGACACACGGCGGGUGCUAACGUCCGUCGUGAAGAGGGAAACAACCCAGACCGCCAGCUAAGGUCCCAAAGUCAUGGUUAAGUGGGAAACGAUGUGGGAAGGCCCAGACAGCCAGGAUGUUGGCUUAGAAGCAGCCAUCAUUUAAAGAAAGCGUAAUAGCUCACUGGUCGAGUCGGCCUGCGCGGAAGAUGUAACGGGGCUAAACCAUGCACCGAAGCUGCGGCAGCGAACGUAUCACUUAAAGCGAUUCAGCGGGUUACGAUUGACGGAGCGAAGCGACGUCAAAGCGUAUACAAAGUCGAGUCGGUUUAAGGAUACGUUCGUUGGGUAGGGGAGCGUUCUGUAAGCCUGCGAAGGUGGCCUGUGAGGGUUGCUGGAGGUAUCAGAAGUGCGAAUGCUGACAUAAGUAACGAUAAAGCGGGUGAAAAGCCCGCUCGCCGGAAGACCAAGGGUUCCUGUCCAACGUUAAUCGGGGCAGGGUGAGUCGACCCCUAAGGCGAGGCCGAAAGGCGUAGUCGAUGGGAAACGGGUUAAUAUUCCCGUACUUGGUGUUACUGCGAAGGGGGGACGGAGAAGGCUAUGUUGGCCGGGCGACGGUUGUCCCGGUUUAAGCGUGUAGGUGUGUGUUCCAGGUAAAUCCGGUUCACUUUAACACUGAGGCGUGAUGACGAGGCACUACGGUGCUGAAGCAACAAAUGCCCUGCUUCCAGGAAAAGCCUCUAAGCAUCAGGUAACAUCAAAUCGUACCCCAAACCGACACAGGUGGUCAGGUAGAGAAUACCAAGGCGCUUGAGAGAACUCGGGUGAAGGAACUAGGCAAAAUGGUGCCGUAACUUCGGGAGAAGGCACGCUGACAUGUAGGUGAAGUGAUUUACUCACGGAGCUGAAGUCAGUCGAAGAUACCAGCUGGCUGCAACUGUUUAUUAAAAACACAGCACUGUGCAAACACGAAAGUGGACGUAUACGGUGUGACGCCUGCCCGGUGCCGGAAGGUUAAUUGAUGGGGUCAGCGCAAGCGAAGCUCCUGAUCGAAGCCCCGGUAAACGGCGGCCGUAACUAUAACGGUCCUAAGGUAGCGAAAUUCCUUGUCGGGUAAGUUCCGACCUGCACGAAUGGCGUAAUGAUGGCCAGGCUGUCUCCACCCGAGACUCAGUGAAAUUGAACUCGCUGUGAAGAUGCAGUGUACCCGCGGCAAGACGGAAAGACCCCGUGAACCUUUACUAUAGCUUGACACUGAACAUUGAGCCUUGAUGUGUAGGAUAGGUGGGAGGCUUUGAAGUGUGGACGCCAGUCUGCAUGGAGCCGACCUUGAAAUACCACCCUUUAAUGUUUGAUGUUCUAACGUGGACCCGUAAUCCGGGUUGCGGACAGUGUCUGGUGGGUAGUUUGACUGGGGCGGUCUCCUCCUAAAGAGUAACGGAGGAGCACGAAGGUUGGCUAAUCCUGGUCGGACAUCAGGAGGUUAGUGCAAUGGCAUAAGCCAGCUUGACUGCGAGCGUGACGGCGCGAGCAGGUGCGAAAGCAGGUCAUAGUGAUCCGGUGGUUCUGAAUGGAAGGGCCAUCGCUCAACGGAUAAAAGGUACUCCGGGGAUAACAGGCUGAUACCGCCCAAGAGUUCAUAUCGACGGCGGUGUUUGGCACCUCGAUGUCGGCUCAUCACAUCCUGGGGCUGAAGUAGGUCCCAAGGGUAUGGCUGUUCGCCAUUUAAAGUGGUACGCGAGCUGGGUUUAGAACGUCGUGAGACAGUUCGGUCCCUAUCUGCCGUGGGCGCUGGAGAACUGAGGGGGGCUGCUCCUAGUACGAGAGGACCGGAGUGGACGCAUCACUGGUGUUCGGGUUGUCAUGCCAAUGGCACUGCCCGGUAGCUAAAUGCGGAAGAGAUAAGUGCUGAAAGCAUCUAAGCACGAAACUUGCCCCGAGAUGAGUUCUCCCUGAGACUUAAAGUCUCCUGAAGGAACGUUGAAGACGACGACGUUGAUAGGCCGGGUGUGUAAGCGCAGCGAUGCGUUGAGCUAACCGGUACUAAUGAACCGUGAGGCUUAACCUUACAACGCCGAAG
rnacentral:rRNA from 1 species